rnacentral:rRNA from 1 species
GUCGAGCGAACAGACGAGGAGCUUGCUCCUCUGACGUUAGCGGCGGACGGGUGAGUAACACGUGGAUAACCUACCUAUAAGACUGGGAUAACUUCGGGAAACCGGAGCUAAUACCGGAUAAUAUAUUGAACCGCAUGGUUCAAUAGUGAAAGACGGUUUUGCUGUCACUUAUAGAUGGAUCCGCGCCGCAUUAGCUAGUUGGUAAGGUAACGGCUUACCAAGGCAACGAUGCGUAGCCGACCUGAGAGGGUGAUCGGCCACACUGGAACUGAGACACGGUCCAGACUCCUACGGGAGGCAGCAGUAGGGAAUCUUCCGCAAUGGGCGAAAGCCUGACGGAGCAACGCCGCGUGAGUGAUGGAGGUCUUCGGAUCGUAAAACUCUGUUAUUAGGGAAGAACAAAUGUGUAAGUAACUAUGCACGUCUUGACGGUACCUAAUCAGAAAGCCACGGCUAACUACGUGCCAGCAGCCGCGGUAAUACGUAGGUGGCAAGCGUUAUCCGGAAUUAUUGGGCGUAAAGCGCGCGUAGGCGGUUUUUUAAGUCUGAUGUGAAAGCCCACGGCUCAACCGUGGAGGGUCAUUGGAAACUGGAAAACUUGAGUGCAGAAGAGGAAAGUGGAAUUCCAUGUGUAGCGGUGAAAUGCGCAGAGAUAUGGAGGAACACCAGUGGCGAAGGCGACUUUCUGGUCUGUAACUGACGCUGAUGUGCGAAAGCGUGGGGAU